CGAAAGCCUGACGGAGCAACGCCGCGUGAGGGAUGGAGGCCUUUGGGCUGUAAACCUCUUUUCUCAAGGAAGAAGAUCUGACGGUACUUGAGGAAUAAGCCACGGCUAAUUCCGUGCCAGCAGCCGCGGUAAUACGGGAGUGGCAAGCGUUAUCCGGAAUUAUUGGGCGUAAAGCGUCCGCAGGUGGCCGUUUAAGUCUGUUGUUAAAUCGUGGAGCUCAACUCCAUCACGGCAAUGGAAACUGUUCGGCUCGAGUAUGGUAGGGGCAGAGGGAAUUUCCGGUGUAGCGGUGAAAUGCGUAGAUAUCGGGAAGAACACCAGUGGCGAAAGCGCUCUGCUGGGCCAUUACUGACGCUCAUGGACGAAAGCCAGGGGAGCGAAAGGGAUUAGAUACCCCUGUAGUCCUGGCCGUAAACGAUGAACACUAGAUGUUGGGGGAAUCGACCCCCUCGGUGUCGUAGCUAACGCGUUAAGUGUUCCGCCUGGGGAGUACGCACGCAUGUGUGAAACUCAAAGGAAUUGACGGGGGCCCGUACAAGCGGUGGAGUAUGUGGUUUAAUUCGAUGCAACGCGAAGAACCUUACCAAGGCUUGACAUCCUGCGAAUCUCUAAGAAAUUAGAGAGUGCCUUCGGGAACGCAGUGACAGGUGGUGCAUGGCUGUCGUCAGCUCGUGUCGUGAGAUGUUGGGUUAAGUCCCGCAACGAGCGCAACCCACGUUUUUAGUUGCCAGCAUUCAGUUGGGCACUCUAGAAAGACUGCCGGUGACAAACCGGAGGAAGGUGUGGACGACGUCAAGUCAUCAUGCCCCUUACGCCUUGGGCUACACACGUACUACAAUGCUGCGGACAAAGAGUAGCGAUCUUGCGAAAGUUAGCUAAUCUCAUAAACCGUGGCUCAGUUCAGAUCGUAGGCUGCAACUCGCCUACGUGAAGGAGGAAUCGCUAGUAAUCGCAGGUCAGCAUACUGCGGUGAAUACGUUCCCGGGCCUUGUACACACCGCCCGUCACACCAUGGAAGUUGGCCAUGCCCGAAGUCGUUACUCUAACCUUUUGGAAGAGGGCGCCGAAGGCAGGGCUAAUGACUGGGGUGAAGUCGCAACAAGGUAGCCGUAGCGGAAGCUGCGGCUGGAUCACCUCCUAA
rnacentral:rRNA from 1 species